UGGGGAAUAUUGCGCAAUGGGCGAAAGCCUGACGCAGCGACGCCGCGUGAGGGAUGAAGGUUUUCGGAUCGUAAACCUCUGUCAGAAGGGAAGAAACCGCACUGUGCUAAUCAGCAGUGCCUUGACGGUACCUUCAAAGGAAGCACCGGCUAACUCCGUGCCAGCAGCCGCGGUAAUACGGAGGGUGCAAGCGUUAAUCGGAAUUACUGGGCGUAAAGCGCACGUAGGCUGCUUUGUAAGUCAGGGGUGAAAUCCCACGGCUCAACCGUGGAACUGCCUUUGAUACAGCUUAGCUUGAAUCCGGGAGAGGGUGGCGGAAUUCCAGGUGUAGGAGUGAAAUCCGUAGAUAUCUGGAGGAACAUCAGUGGCGAAGGCGGCCACCUGGACCGGUAUUGACGCUGAGGUGCGAAAGCGUGGGGAGCAAACAGG
rnacentral:rRNA from 1 species